rnacentral:rRNA from 1 species
UACGUAGGUGGCAAGCGUUGUCCGGAAUUAUUGGGCGUAAAGCGCACGUAGGCGGCUUUGUAAGUCGGAUGUGAAAUCCCUCGGCUUAACCAAGGAAGUGCAUCCGAAACUACAGAGCUUGAGUACUUAAGAGGAUCGCGGAAUUCCCGGUGUAGAGGUGAAAUUCGUAGAUAUCGGGAGGAACACCAGUGGCGAAGGCGGCGACCUGGGUAGAUACUGACGCUGAGGCGCGAAAGCGUGGGGAGCAACAGG